GAUGAACGCUGGCGGCGUGCCUAAUACAUGCAAGUCGAGCGAACGGACGAGAAGCUUGCUUCUCUGAUGUUAGCGGCGGACGGGUGAGUAAAACGUGGAUAACCUACCUAUAAGACUGGGAUAACUUCGGGAAACCGGAGCUAAUACCGGAUAAUAUUUUGAACCGCAUGGUUCAAAAGUGAAAGACGGUCUUGCUGUCACUUAUAGAUGGAUCCGCGCUGCAUUAGCUAGUUGGUAAGGUAACGGCUUACCAAGGCAACGAUGCAUAGCCGACCUGAGAGGGUGAUCGGCCACACUGGAACUGAGACACGAUCCAGACUCCUACGGGAGGCAGCAGUAGGGAAUCUUCCGCAAUGGGCGAAAGCCUGACGGAGCAACGCCGCGUGAGUGAUGAAGGUCUUCGGAUCGUAAAACUCUGUUAUUAGGGAAGAACAUAUGUGUAAGUAACUGUGCACAUCUUGACGGUACCUAAUCAGAAAGCCACGGCUAACUACGUG
rnacentral:rRNA from 1 species